CCUAGAUGAAACCGCGUACCACCUCAUUUUCUCGGUCGCAUACGUUAAACAGAACUUUGGCUAUACUCCUCUUAAGAGCAUUUUGUCAAGACAACGGCCUAUUAUUCACAUAACCUGGAUGUCAAAUAUGCGGAAUGGAUGUUCAGCACCUUCUAAAUUAUGUUAUGCAGUUCCACAAAACCUAGAGGAGGAUAGGACCGAAUGGAAGAGGAGAAUUGAGGAGGCCAUGGACCGAAUACGGACCGGAUAGCCAUAGAAGAAGAAGUAGUUCCGCAAACCUAAUUAAUUUUCUUGUGCUUGGAUUUUUGAAGUGCUUUGGACGGAAACACAGCACUACUACAGUGCUGCUGUGCAUUAACCGACUAAGAGCCACAUUCAGAUUUGACUGUGUACAACCUUUAAAAAAAACAUGUUAUUGAGAUACAGUCACAUUCAGAAAUGAAAUUAUGGAAUAAGGAAUGGGAGGAAUACACAUAAUACAAAGGAAUGAACGAAGAAAGAACACCUGUUGCAGUACAAGGAAAGACUGAUGUUUUCAAGUAAGAAUGUACAACAGCUGCAUAAUAUUAAAAAAAAUGCGAAACUGUGUACAAAAGAAAUGGAUAAUUUCAUUACAAGUAAAUGUAAUCAACAAA